rnacentral:lncRNA from 1 species
CCAGCCUUGUGUUUUGUAUGAAUUUGAAAAGCAUAGCAUCUUGCCGACAGGACAUAGGAUGACCCAAGUCUGGAAGAUGAUUAUUUCUAUUCCUCCUGGUCACAGUGAUUGGACCCAAGUUGGACCAAUCAGAAACCUACCUUGGAAUUUUUACAUGGAAAUCUGGUGGGGAAAGCUAUCUUGUUUUCCUUAGGUAUGGGAUUGUAAAUAUCUGAACCCCAGCUGCUGGUGAUUAUGGGGAGUGGGGUUUAGAAAAGACGUGUGCAGGGUGGGACAGGGGUUAUGGGAAGAAAGAACGUCCUCCCAUACUUCCAGGGAGACCUCUGCAUUCGCAUUUUCAGUUUUUAUCCGUAAGCCUUUUUAGUGGAAGCUUCUUUCCGAUUCUGACAAUGGGUUUAUGCUAAGUCCUUGUGGAGUGGAAUAGCCAAACCAGACUUUUUCCUUCUUUAGCUUAAGAAGCUGCCAGCUGUUCUUCAUUCUGGUGGGGAUAGAAGGUCAAUUUAAAGCAGAUGUUUAUGCACUCUCUUUAAUAUGCAGAAAUAUGCCAGAGACCCAGAUUUGAGAACUAUUGUGAUGAGGCCUUUGGUUUGACUUAGAGAAGCUACCUAUACACUCCCCGUUCUUAACAGAGAAGAGAAGGCCACUUUGCAUAUGGAGACCAGGGGUUUGCUGGGAGGGAAGACACCAACAUUCUCACAAUACUUGCCCCUGAUUAUUUUACUUAGGAAACUCUGCUGGAAAAGACUGGAGCAGACCUGGCCAAGAUUCACUGAAAGAGAAGAGCAAUGGGGCCGUUAAUUAAAGUAAUCAUAAGCAGAGAGAGAUACUAGACCAAUGGCCUCUUUCUGGCAUUGACUCAAAAAAAUAAAAGAAAAUAGAAAAAGGUAGUUCUAGGAAUCCAAGACCAAGAGAAUACCCAAGUUGAACUACUCCCAACCCAAGGAAGCUUAUGCCUGCACCAAGUGGGACCUUGCACGAUGAUUAUCACGCUUCUCUAUUCCACUUUCUAGGAUAAGGGAGAUAUCAGGAACCGGGCUAGGUGAGGUUGGGUGUCCGGACCAAGCAUUGGCACCCAAGAACAUCUAACAAGGCUCAAGGAGGCCAUAUCCAAGCCUAGAACCCACAUCAGAUCUACACACAAGGUCCGGCCCCAGGAACUUGAUCUUCUGAAGUGGUUGGAAAAGAGAGUUUUAACAGAUGGGGAUUCACCACCUUGAGAUGCUGAAAUGUCGUUGUCUCUGAGCUGGAGAGAUCUGGGUUCCUCUCUGGGCUCUGUCGCUCACCACCUCUGUGAACUUGGACGCGUUAAUUUACUCACCUCCCUGAGCUUCAGGGCCAUUAACUCUGAAAUGUGGACAUAAACACUUACUUGCCUAAGUUUGUUUUGAAGUUUGAGACCAUGUUUAUUCAGUUCUGGUCCAUAUUAGAUACUCAGUAGCUAUGAACUAUAAUUAUUCAUUGUAAUUCAGAGAAAGAGAGAGAUGACAGAGAGCCAACACUCUGUGAUCAUGGCGGACGUGAAAACCCUGAUGUCCACUGGGGUUACUUUGUCCUUUGAAAUUCAAAAUUGGCUUUACUGCCACCCCACCUAUGGGGGGAGAGCCAGCGUCGCUUCCCAUCUCUCUAGGACUCUGAGAGCCCUGAUGCAGAUUGGCUCUUCGGCUUCUCUGGUCGCUGUCUUUGUGUUUCUCCUUUCAUGGAGUUUCAGGGCCACCUCACUGUCUUGCAAGCACUGUCCACAAAGCAUGCAACCCCCAGUUUUCCACCUCCUCUGCUUCUCCUAAGACAAAGUUAUGUUCCUCAGAUUUUUGGCAAAGCUUUAAGGCAACAGAGGUUUAUGUGGCAAUACCCCCAAACCCAAGCUGGAAUAUUAAACAUCCCUGCUCCUAAAAAAAUGCCCUCUGACCCCCUGCCAUGGGGCACUUAUCACUGAUUACCUUUCUCUACAGGCUCCGUCUUUCUCUACAGGCUCCAUCUUUCUCUACAGGCUCCGUCUUUCUCUACAGGCUCCAUCUUUCUCUACAGGGUCCGUCUUUCUCUACAGGCUCCGUCUUUCUCUACAGGCUCCGUCUUUCUCUACAGGCUCCGUCUUUCUUUACAGGCUCUGUCUUUCUCUACAGGCUCCAUCUUUCUCUACAGGCUCCAUCUUUCCAUCUUGUUACUCCGUCUCCUUCUCCUUUCCAUCCCCUCUCCUCUUACCUCAGCCUAACCAUCCUCCCCGUAACAACCACCAAUUCCUGCCAACCAAACAGAGAGCACCUUUGUCCAAAGAGCCGUCUCCUUCCACAUGGAGAAUCUUUUCACACAAAAGUAACCCAUCAAGGCAUUUUCCUCAUCAAACAUAGUUCUCACCUGAAGAGGCUCUCUGGAGCCAGCUGUUGAAAUAACAUUUUUUUGUUCCACAACAUGGGGUAACUCAGAAAUACAAAUGACUCUGGGUCAGGACUGCCAUAUAAGGUUUUGCAGGUUG